rfam:Stegodyphus mimosarum contig102251, whole genome shotgun sequence.
GCCUUCGUCGUGUAGUGGUCAGCACACUCGGCGCGUAUUCGGGAGGUUCGUGGUUCGAGUCCCGGCUAGGGCA